rnacentral:rRNA from 1 species
GGUUCGAUUCUGGCUCAGAUUGAACGCUGGCGGGAUGCUUUACACAUGCAAGUCGAACGGCAGCACGGACUUCGGUCUGGUGGCGAGUGGCGAACGGGUGAGUAAUGUAUCGGAACGUGCUCUAGUAGCGGGGGAUAACUACGGCGAAAGCGUAGCUAAUACCGCAUACGCCCUUUCGGGGAAAGCGGGGGGACCUUCGGGCCUGGCACUAUUAGAGCGGCCGAUAUCGGAUUAGCUAGUUGGUGGGGUAACGGCUCACCAAGGCGACGAUCCGUAGCUGGUUUGAGAGGACGACCAGCCACACUGGGACCGAGACACGGCCCAGACUCCACGGGAGGCAGCAGUGGGGAAUUUUGGACAAUGGGGGAAACCCUGAUCCAGCCAUCCCGCGUGUGCGAUGAAGGCCUUCGGGUUGUAAAGCACUUUUGGCAGGAAAGAAGAAACGGCACGGGAUAAUACCCGUGCAACUGACGGUACUCAUGCAGAAUAAAGCACCGGCUAACUACGUGCCAGCAGCCGCGGUAAUACGUAGGUGCAAGCGUUAAUCGGAAUUACUGGGCGUAAAGCGUGCGCAGGCGGUUCGGAAAGAAAAGAUGUGAAAUCCCAGAGCUUAACUUUGAACUGCAUUUUUAACUACCGAGCUAGAGUGUGUCAGAGGGAGGUGGAAUUCGCGUGUAGCAGGAAAUGCGUAGAUAUGCGGAGGAACACCGAUGGCGAAGGCAGCCUCCUGGGAUAACACUGACGCUCAUGCACGAAAGCGUGGGGAGCAAAACAGGAUUAGAUACCCUGGUAGUCCACGCCCUAAACGAUGUCAACUAGCUGUUGGGGCCUUCGGGCCUUGGUAGCGCAGCUAACGCGCAGUUGACCGCCUGGGGAGUACGGUCGCAAGAUUAAAACUCAAAGGAAUUGACGGGACCCGCACAAGCGGUGGAUGAUGUGAUUAAUUCGAUGCAACGCGAAAAACCUACCUACCCUUGACAUGUCUGGAAUCCCCGAAGAGAUUUGGGAGUGCUCGCAAGAGAACCGAACACAGGUGCUGCAUGGCUGUCGUCAGCUCGUGUCGUGAGAUGUUGGGUUAAGUCCCGCAACGAGCGCAACCCUUGUCAUUAGUUGCUACGAAAGGGCACUCUAUCGAGACUGCCGGUGACAAACCGGAGGAAGGUGGGGAUGACGUCAAGUCCUCAUGGCUCUUAUGGGUAGGGCUUCACACGUCAUACAAUGGUCGGGACAGAGGGUCGCCAACCCGCGAGGGGGAGCCAAUCCCAGAAACCCGAUCGUAGUCCGGAUCGCAGUCUGCAACUCUCGACUGCGUGAAGUCGGAAUCGCCAGUAAUCGCGGAUCAGCAUGUCGCGGUGAAUACGCGUUCCCGGGUCUUGUACACACCACUCGUCACACCAUGCGGGAGUGGGUUUUACCAGAAGUAGUUAGCCUAACCGUAAGGAGUGGCGAUUACCACGGUAGGAUCUGCGACUGGGGUGAAGUCGUACUGAAGGUAA